UACGGAGGGAGCUAGCGUUGUUCGGAAUUACUGGGCGUAAAGCGCACGUAGGCGGCUUUGUAAGUUAGAGGUGAAAGCCCGGGGCUCAACUACGGAACUGCCUUUAAGACUGCAUCGCUUGAAUCCAGGAGAGGUGAGUGGAAUUCCGAGUGUAGAGGUGAAAUUCGUAGAUAUUCGGAGGAACACCAGUGGCGAAGGCGGCUCACUGGUCCAUUACUGACGCUGAGGUGCGAAAGCGUGGGGAGCAAACAGG
rnacentral:rRNA from 1 species